ensembl:lncRNA
UCUGUGUUACCGCUGCUGCUUGGUGGAAGUAACAGGACAUGGAUUCUGCCUCGUAAGUGGCAGUUUCCCUUUUCUCUCUGACUUGUCCUAGGCCGAUUUCUCUAUGGCUUCCCUGAGAAAGGUGGGGCCCAAAGGAGAGAGGGCUUCAAACUGUCCCAGGUCCUGCCCAGCUCAGUGUGUAUCUUCUUGCUUCCAUGUGUCUUUUCCCCUGCUGCCUCACUCCCCACCCCCACUUGCCAGGUGUUUGAGCCAUUUCUACACCAAAGCAAAGUACGGCCUCAGGAGGGAGUAAAAAGGGUGCCAUCUGUGUCUGGAGGGGCAGCUGUGUUCAUGCCCUGUGCUACUGGACAUUUCACAAUUCUGGCACCUUGCGAUUGGUCAGUCAACCUCAGAAAGUAACUAUCUUGAAGGUUUGAAAAACAACCAAAGAAAGGGAGUGAAGACUAUGGCUGCGUGUCCUCUGCUUGCCCGGCUGCAGAGCAGAGAUGUGCAGCCCUCUGGUCAGCUGGUCCAGGCUGGUCCCCGCCGGCCCCCUUCCAGUCCAGCCACCAGGAGCCCACUUGUCCCGGGCUUCCACCUGGCUGACAGGAAGAAUUUCUGAGAGCCCGAUGUGCAUGUCUUGUGGAUGAAGGUACAGCUCGCCUGCCUGCCCCAGCCCCAGCCCUGACAAUCACAUGCAGCUGACUCGGACACUGGCCUUGGGAACAAUGUUUGAGAGAACAUCUGCCCCUUGACUGUAGGAGCCAGAAGGGGACCCAGGUGUGCAUAGCUCUCUGUAGACAUUUUUACCCCAAACUGUUGGUAAAGCACCCAUCUGGUGCUCAAGAGAGCCUGGGGGUCUAAUAGGGAGCCCGGCUGCCUCACCUGGCCACGGCCUCCAUGCCAGAUCUCCACAUUGUCUUGAUCCAGACCAGCUCUGUGAUCAGAAGGAAAUUGGGUCCAAUGUAGGAGCGAGCUGGUCCUGGGCCUGGCAGGCAAGAGUAUGGGCAUCCUUUCCCGGCCUUUCUCCACUCUCCCUCAGGCCUGUGCUCAGGUUGCCUUGAAUGUGGACUCUGGAAGAGCCAGGGGCCCAGAAUGCCGGGGGAGGCUUCUGGGUGGCACUCGUGGAACACCGUCCCUCUGCCAGCCAUAGGCCCUGCCUCCAGUGUCAGGGAAUGGAGGCUGGGCUGCGAGAGUGCUGCUGCCCCAUGUUGUUCUUCUAAUCCACUGUAGAAAUUGUACGUAAUGUAUUUAAAUCAACACAAAUGUAUGAAUAACAAAUGCAGUUCUGACCUUUUUUGUCCAUUUCUUUGGGGGAAGGAAGACAAAGAAGGUAGGAACUGAAUUUUGAGGGCAAGGAAACCUGUGUUUCCACAGAGUUGCUGAGACAUGGCUCCUGGGGCUAUUUCUCCCUAGUAAAGGACGAUCCAGGUCCUCAUUUCCAAAGUCCCAAUGCUCUGAAAACCAAAAGUAUUUUCAUAACCCAUUUGAAACCAAACCUGACCUGAACCUACACUGAUAGGAAGCUAUUGGUAAUUAUGAUGUGUUCCUUUUAGUGUGAUUCUUUGUUGCAGAAAUGUCAAUAUAUUUUAUGACAUGGUUCCCUACUAGGGAUUAUACAGUAUUUGCCCUGACUACUUCCUAAGAGCCAAAAAUAAAAAAUCUGAAUUCC